rnacentral:lncRNA from 1 species
AACCGUUGCGGCAACUUCCCCGACCACCUUCGUCGUUGUCGGUUGGCGGCGACAUUUUUUUCUUUCUUUUUCCUUCCUUACCUCCACCUUGUCUCUCUUCUCUCUAGCAAUCUCUUUAGCUUUUUUUUUUUUUUUUUCCUUUUCCCUCCCAUGACUUCUGCCAUGAGGGGUUGAUGCCUGAAUAGAUCCACACCAACACCAAUGCCCCGGAAAUCUUGCAUCUGUAUUCUCUUUUACAAGUUUAGGCAUUUUUACCACAAGAGGAGCAUGGAGAGAAAUUUGGAGCAACUAAUGUUGUUGUGAGAUUCAUAACGGUUGAACCCAUUGGAGCCUUGCCUAGAUUUGUUUCCCAUUGUGAUGGUUGUUGCUCUUGUUCUUAAUCCAUGGCCUAGAUUCAUACCUAGAUGUGUUUGCGAGUGAUAGAGAGACGAACAUCAAAGAGAAACAAAGAUGGAUAGACAACAAUGAAAUGGAAACAUGCCGUGGCAGUGCCUUCGCGGUGGUCCACCAAGGCGUCGUCGUUGUCUCAUUCCUCUUGACGAACUUGGCAUUUAUGUUGGGGUUGUACUCGGUAGGCCUAGUCGAGCCCAUCUCCAUUUUCAGCUACAAAGAAAUGGAACAAGAAAUUAGGGUAUGGUAGGGAAGGGAAUGGACGAGUGCUCCUUUGGGUUGGUAAAUGUGGCUUUAAUUUGUUAGUUAGCGCGAAUGGUGCAACAAGGACAUAUAAGGGGAUGUCGGAGAAUGGAGGGAGGGGGGAGGCAGUAGUUGCUGUCUACAGUGGAGGAAUAUUCAUAGAGAAUAGAGAGGAGCUGCGAGGGGUCUGAGGUGGGAGUCAUGGAUUUUGAAAUGCCUUCAGUGAAAAGAAGGAUGAUCGAAGAAAUUUGUUGGGAAGAGAUUGAAAAUAAAGUGUAAACUGACCCAUGAUACUACAUCAAUCUAGCGACUCACAAUUAUUACCUUGAUAGGUGGUCCACCAAAACGAUGACCGUAUUUAGGUACACAACUUAUUUAAAUACUAAAUUACAUUUUAGUCUCUUAAACAUCACAACUAUAUGAUUUUGGUUUUCCUAAGGGGUAUAUUAUGAACUAUUAUUUGUGGGCUUUGGAUUGACUUAGGGUGUAUAAUUUUAUUGUACACCCUUUGCAUCCAAACUUUCCCCUCUUAAAUCAAAUCUCCCUCCCUCCCUAGCAGUCUAGCUCCACCUCCGUCUCCGAUAGCAUUGGAGUGGGUGCAUUUAGACUUUGAUGAGGUCGAGUCGAUGGGUGGUGCAACUUGCGACGAUGGAAACACCAUCUUCAAAAAAUCCUCUAAGACUCAUCUUCAAUUUUCAAUUCAAAACAUAGUAGUAGUGUGUAUGAUUCAGAGUCAUAGAUAAAGCAACUAUGUUAAGCAAUGAAUCUGUGCUUUAACGUUUUGGUGAGGAACGAAGGAGAUGGGUUGGAGAUGAUUAUAUAGUAGCUUUUGUGUGUAAGAGAUUACUAGAGAGAGUCACUAGAAGUGGUGGAACGUCACUGGAGACGGUGGUGGAGCUAGACUGCUAGAGAGGGAGGGAGAGUAGAGUUAAGAGGAAAAGUUUGGAUGAAGAGGAUGUAUAAUAAGAUUAUACACCUUAGAUAAAUCCAAAGCUCACAAAUAAUGAUCCAUAAUAUACCCCUUAUAAAAGUGUUCCACAAAUAAUCAUACAACUUAUACAAGUGGUCCACGGAAGUAUUGAUCUCCAUUUAAUAUUUAAGCCAUUAAAUUGUUCAGAAUGGAAUACAUCCUUUGCAUAUAUAAUUGCAUUGUCCAAUAUCCAUUACUAUCAUAAAAACACUAAUUUAGCGCAAAUAUGAAAACAACAAUUAAGCCAAUAUAGUUGGAGUAUUUUUCUUUAAAACAGUUAAGAGUAUAUUUUUAUGUCAUUGUAGUUUAAAUACUGUUUUUUUAGCAGUUACACUUUAUCUAUUCACUAUCAUGUCAUAUACAGUUUGUCCUAUAAACUAAUUCUAUUAAGUAUUGAAUAAAAUCUGGGUAGAGGAAUAAAAAAAAUUAGGAUAGAAUGAAGGAGAUUUAACUUAAUUAGUUAAAUAAAAAUUUAUAAAUUUUCUGACAUUAUCUUUAAUUUCUACACAUAAAAAAAUCAGGAUAGAAGGAUCUAAUUUUAAACGAAAAAAAUAUUAAAAAAUGUUGAUGCAAUUAAAACUUGAAAAACUAAAACUGUACCAUCAUAAUAUCAAAGGGAUUAAAAAUAGCAUUAAGUCAAAUUUAUCUUACCCAUUUUGCACCAAGGAAAAUGAGCUAAAGAAUUUAUAAUAUGUAUCUUUACAACAUGACGAUACAAACAAAACGUCAUGCAAAAGCAUCGAAAUAGCGUCUAGUCAAACUUUUCAAACGACAAAACGUUCUUUGCAACCGUGUGUAUCAUAGUGAUGGAUGAUGAUAUGUGGAAACCACGUUAGUUUGGCACAUCAGUUAUUUGUCUUCUAAACAAUAAGAAUGAUGGUUGCAUGGUGCAUGAGCAUGCAUGAUAUUUGGAUGGUUGGCUUUAUAUGUAUUCAUUCUUUAAUCUUUCUUAUACUAAUCAAUGUGCCUUUAUAUGCCAAUUUGCCUUCUCUUUUGACAAUGCAUGUAUUUAAUUGUGAUAAUUACCAAGUCACAAGUACAGUCCAAAUGACUGCCAAUUUGGAAUGGUAACAAUGGUAAGAGUUAAUUCUCAUUCUCUUUAUAGAUGCGAGCUUGAUUUUUCCUGUAACUGCUAAAGUCUUAUAGAUUUAAUGACAUUUAAGGACUAGUUAAAUAGUAAGAAACAAUUUGCACAAAAAAAAUAGUAAUAAAAAUAAAAUUAUUUACAAUCUAAGCUUAUGGGUGAACCUCUUCUAACAUAUCAUUGUAUGUAAUGCUGUAAAAUAACAAAAACAAAAUAAAACUUCUUGUAUGUAACAUGACAUUAAUAUUUUAUCAGCAUUUCUCCAAGUCUUCAGACAUAUAUAAGGAAAAUUAUUACUCCUUAAACUUUACUUCCCAAUUGUAGAUACUUCAAAUUUAGUUUUAUUCUAAUUAUUCCUUAAAAUUUAAUUUUAUCAGCAUUUCUCCAAGUCUUCAGACAUUUUUUUUAAAUUUUUAAUUAAAAAUUUUAUUUUCUUUAAAAAAAAAAAACUGAGUAAGCCGUAAAUGUUUUGCAUUAAGUAUUGUCAUCCAAGGCUACUAGUAAACUCAUGAAAUUAAAGUUUAUGAAAUUCACAUUCACAGAAGCUCAAUAUGGAAGGAUGCCAGUCUGUUUUUGGUUGUUAUUGAAGUGAUUUUUUUUAUCUGCAAGCUAUUGAAGUGUAUCUAAACACAUAUAAUACUUUCUUCUAACAACAAACUUUAGACAGUUUUCUUUUUGUCAUAUUACAAAUUCUAGGUGAUGCUGAGGACUCAUUUGACCUCAAUUAGCUAAACUUCAACCAGAAAAUUGACUUCAGAUAUCCUGCCAGUACGUACUCUACUAUUGUCUCCAUGCCAUAUCCAAAUGGCUCUAUUUCAUGUGAAUUCUGAGGCCAUAGAAUAUGUAUCUAGCAUUCUACGUACAAACGCUUCAUAUUGGUUCAUUCACAUUCAAGCAAAGAAGAAAAUUAAAAACUCCUUUACAGAAAUAACAUUUGACAGGCCAAUAAUAGACAUUACCCAACACAUUGUUUUCUACAGAGAAUAGCUACAAUAAAAGGAAGAUCCAAAUACUACAGAAAAGGCACAAUAACCCCUAGAAAAGGCACCCCUUUUGUAAUGUAUCAUUCUAUUACUACAGAAAUGACUUCAGUGGGUCAUUAGGGUCAAUAUCAGCAAUAAGUGGGAGAUCAACUGGUAUAGAUUCUAGACUCAAGCCUUCUUCUCUUAGCUUUGUGAUUACUUCCUCAAAAACAACUUGAUUGCCACUUUGAGUAAGAUGCAAACCAUCACUGCAUUUAAGUUACCAAAAUCAUAAAUUCAUAUAAAAACCAAAUAUAUAAUCAAAAUCAAUACUCAAACUCAUUCCAUUCGGGCUCUUUUUCUCUAUCAAAGGAGCGAAUUUCUAAAUUUUCAUAUGUAACACACUAUUGGAUUCAUAAUUAUAGAAAACAAGAAAGGCAAUUGCAUAUAGAGAAAUCAGUGUAGGCUCUAAUUAUCCACACUAUACAAACUAAGUUGUAGGAAAAAUCAAAUCACAUUGUUUGUACCAUCAGAAGGUAACUAAAUUUUCAGUUCAGUAGUCUUUGCAUUUUUAAUCAAACCAUACCCAUCAAAGAAUGACAUUCUUCCAAUGCAAACUCUACGAAAUUGGCAAUUAUGGCAUAAACUUGAAAAACCAAUUCAGCAAUGAAAACCUCAAUACUCUCGUAAAAUUAUAGUACGAUAUAACACGACACAAUUAAAAACACAUUCAGUUGUAUUACAAGACAAAGCCAUCAUGUUUGUCAGCAUUUUAAAUAUAAGUGGUAACUAUAAACUAUUGUCAAUAUAAGUGCAAGAUAUAAAUUAAGAAUUUAAGAUGCAAAAAUAUCUACGAUGCAAGUGAAAAUAUAUAAAGGUAAAAGUUUUGUGAGACCGUAGAUAUUCUUUUUUCCAGUCAGGGUACUGUUGCAUUUUGGUCCAGAGAUCAACCACAGGGAUUCCACAUUCUCCUGCCACAGCAAUGCAAGCUCUAGCAUACUCACCAGC